CCUACGGGGGGCAGCAGUGAGGAAUAUUGGUCAAUGGGCGGGAGCCUGAACCAGCCAAGCCGCGUGAGGGAAGAAGGUACAGCGUAUCGUAAACCUCUUUUGUCAGGGAACAAAGGCGGGGACUAGUCCCCGGAUGAGGGUACCUGAAGAAAAAGCAUCGGCUAACUCCGUGCCAGCAGCCGCGGUAAUACGGAGGAUGCGAGCGUUAUCCGGAUUUAUUGGGUUUAAAGGGUGCGCAGGCGGCCUGUUAAGUCAGCGGUAAAAGGCCGGGGCUCAACCCCGGGCGGGCCGUUGAAACUGGGGGGCUGGAGUAGGAGUGAGGCAGGCGGAAUGCGUGGUGUAGCGGUGAAAUGCUUAGAUAUCGCGCAGAACCCCGAUUGCGAAGGCAGCGUACCAGCUCCACACUGACGCUGAGGCACGAAAGCGUGGGUAUCGAACAGGAUUAGAUACCCCUGUAGUC
rnacentral:rRNA from 1 species